rnacentral:rRNA from 1 species
AUGAACGCUAGCGACAGGCUUAACACAUGCAAGUCGAGGGGCAGCACAGGUAGCAAUACCGGGUGGCGACCGGCGCACGGGUGAGUAACGCGUAUGCAACUUGCCUAUCAGAGGGGGAUAACCCGGCGAAAGUCGGACUAAUACCGCAUGAAGCAGGGGCCCCGCAUGGGGAUAUUUGCUAAAGAUUCAUCGCUGAUAGAUAGGCAUGCGUUCCAUUAGGCAGUUGGCGGGGUAACGGCCCACCAAACCGACGAUGGAUAGGGGUUCUGAGAGGAAGGUCCCCCACAUUGGUACUGAGACACGGACCAAACUCCUACGGGAGGCAGCAGUGAGGAAUAUUGGUCAAUGGGCGUAAGCCUGAACCAGCCAAGUCGCGUGAGGGAUGAAGGUUCUAUGGAUCGUAAACCUCUUUUAUAAGGGAAUAAAGUGCGGGACGUGUCCCGUUUUGUAUGUACCUUAUGAAUAAGGAUCGGCUAACUCCGUGCCAGCAGCCGCGGUAAUACGGAGGAUCCGAGCGUUAUCCGGAUUUAUUGGGUUUAAAGGGUGCGUAGGCGGCCUUUUAAGUCAGCGGUGAAAGUCUGUGGCUCAACCAUAGAAUUGCCGUUGAAACUGGGGGGCUUGAGUAUGUUUGAGGCAGGCGGAAUGCGUGGUGUAGCGGUGAAAUGCAUAGAUAUCACGCAGAACCCCGAUUGCGAAGGCAGCCUGCCAAGCCAUUACUGACGCUGAUGCACGAAAGCGUGGGGAUCAAACAGGAUUAGAUACCCUGGUAGUCCACGCAGUAAACGAUGAUCACUAGCUGUUUGCGAUACACUGUAAGCGGCACAGCGAAAGCGUUAAGUGAUCCACCUGGGGAGUACGCCGGCAACGGUGAAACUCAAAGGAAUUGACGGGGGCCCGCACAAGCGGAGGAACAUGUGGUUUAAUUCGAUGAUACGCGAGGAACCUUACCCGGGUUUGAACGCAUUCGGACCGAGGUGGAAACACCUUUUCUAGCAAUAGCCGUUUGCGAGGUGCUGCAUGGUUGUCGUCAGCUCGUGCCGUGAGGUGUCGGCUUAAGUGCCAUAACGAGCGCAACCCUUGCCACUAGUUACUAACAGGUAAAGCUGAGGACUCUGGUGGGACUGCCAGCGUAAGCUGCGAGGAAGGCGGGGAUGACGUCAAAUCAGCACGGCCCUUACAUCCGGGGCGACACACGUGUUACAAUGGCGUGGACAAAGGGAAGCCACCUGGCGACAGGGAGCGAAUCCCCAAACCACGUCUCAGUUCGGAUCGGAGUCUGCAACCCGACUCCGUGAAGCUGGAUUCGCUAGUAAUCGCGCAUCAGCCAUGGCGCGGUGAAUACGUUCCCGGGCCUUGUACACACCGCCCGUCAAGCCAUGGGAGCCGGGGGUACCUGAAGUCCGUAACCGCGAGGAUCGGCCUAGGGUAAAACUGGUGACUGGGGCU